ACGGUGAAUUGUGUGUGGAGGUUUUGUCGAGGGUGGUUCUCGUAGUGAGCAUAGGGUUUCGAAAGGGAGCACCCACCUAAGUGUAUAUAUAGAUAGAUAGAUCGAGAGAGAGAGAGAGAGAGGGGUCGGAGGGGUAAGCGGGUGGAUUUUUCGCGGUAUCCUAUGGGUUGCCGAUCUGAUCGGAGACAAUCCAUCCCCGACGCGGCGAACACGGGACAGGCGUGGUUCUCGGAACCCGCUUUGAAAAUCCGUGGAACGGUAAAAAAAGCGAUUCGCAGAGUAGGAAUCGACGGUGUCCUCGAAUGGGAACUCGUCGAAUAAAAGAGCUCCACCCUAAGCCGCACUACGGGGAUGAAGAGAAGGAAAGAGGCUGAGGAAGUUAGCUAGGCUUCCUGGGGGAUGGUCUGAGGUGGAAUACGUUAAGAUUCGACGGAAAGAUGUCGAUUGGCUGGCAAAUGGCCCUGUAAGCCCAGGAUUUGGGAUCCUGACAGGAUUUCGAUGGUCAGAAGUCAACGCGCUUCUCAAAUGACUAGGAUGACUCGGAUUCAGGAUCGAAUGGACCCUUUAAGCAUUGUGGUAAAAUAUUCAUUGGACUUAUCUAAGACAAUUGGGCAUGUUUGUUUUAACGGAAGUGACGUAGGAAGUACCAACACUGGUUACGGGCUCGAAUUGGUACCGUAUACUUUGGCCCAUUUAAGGGUCGCCCCUGGGGUUCCCCGAGUCUCGGCAGACCGACGACACCUGUAAUAUACAGGUCCUUGUUUCACCUUGGCGUUAUCGUGCUUCGGUUGGUCUAAAAUGAAGGGUAAAAUAAAAGGAAAGUUCGCAAAUAAAAAUGAAACUAACGAAAGCUGCACCCAUUCGCCUGAAUGGGUCGGUGUCAAAAUAAAUUGGAGUUAUUGCGGCCUGGUGUAAUCCUCUCGCUGGCAUCGGGCCGCUGCCACCCUGGCUCUGGAUAUUGCCUUUGUUAAUAAAAUCACACCCCUGAAGUCUAGUGAGCCUCGAGGCUUUCGAAACGAACUGAAUAACAAAAAAAUACGAGGAGAAACUAGAGCUAACAGGAAUAAUAAUAAAUGUCGGUUUACAAAUGUAUCCUGCUACACGAUUCAUGUCCUAUGGAAUCGACGCGGAGCUUAAUUUCACUCGUUACAACAUCGUUUCGAAAAAUGCCGAUGCUUCACGUAUUUUUUGUAAUUAUUCUUGUUUUUCGUAUUUUACGUAAAAUUUACUGUAAUACUGCGUUGAUGUCAGCCAGUCGUAUUACGAUCGAUAAGAAAAACUAAAUAUAUUGUACUAUUAAUUAAUAAUCGAUAUCUCAUAAAUAUCUCUCAUCAAACUUGAAUUUACGAUUAAUUUUAGAAAAUAAUAGAGAAUCACAGAAUAUUAUUUUUAUACGUCUAUAUAUACAUAAAUAUUCAUUUCUUAAGUUUGAUUGAUUGUUCACUCAUGAACAUCCAUAAUAGAAGAAUCAUGCUUCCAUAAUAAUUUCUUCUUUAUGAAUGAAACUUGACUGUUUCCUUAUUCUAACUGUAGGACUGUCAUUCAGCAGCUAUUGUAGGAUUAAAAUGAGGUAUGGUCAACUGAACCAAUUGGCUAAUCUACACAGUGCCAAUGUGUUAGGAAAUAUUUGAAAUAAGUGAUCACGUAUAGAAUAAUAAUGUGCAGAAGAAUACAUAGGCUUGAGAACAGGAAGUGAUAUUUACAAGAGAAAACGGUGCGAGGAUAUCCAAUGGGCGAAGAAUAGCUUCUAUUCGGGACUCGGGUCACCGCGGUCGACGAAUUUGCAUCUAUCUUUCUAAUUUCGUUGAGCCAAUCUGCAUGUUGUUAUGCCACUCGGUGCUAGGGGAGACGUCCCGUUAAAACGGGCGACGCUUAAAUAAACCAUCCCCGAGAGAGUCGAUCGUUUUCUAUUCUCUUUUUUCGUCGUGACACUCCUUUCUCUCUCUCUCUCUCUCUUGCAGUACUGCUAUUCUUUCCUACUCCAUCAUACUGCCCCUUGCCUUUCCUCACGUAAUCCCACGUUCUCGUAGACUCUUACUUCCUUUCCAUUGGCUUCUCUUCUUUUUCCGCAUUAUAAUUUUCCCAGCAUAUAUAUUUUCUUUUUACCGCUUUUCGAAAACUUGUCAAAAUCAUAGAAUUUUCGUUUGGGCCUGUAGAUUUAUUUGGAAUAUAAUUUUUUUUUUGUUUUCUCUCGGCCGAGCCCGUAGUAGGUAUAUUUGGUUUUUCUUUUUCUUUUCUCAGCGAUAAAACUUUUUCGUUUGGAUUAACGCAGGGAGGGAGGAUGAUCGAAAGUGAGUUAUUCACUUCCUCCAUUUGACUAAUGAAAUCUUGAGCGGCCUGGAUUACCAGGGUGUUUCUGGAAAAUGUUAGUAAGCCGAAGAACUUAUGCACGUUUAACAAAAUGUUUUCAGGAUGUUCGCCAGUGUCUUGGGAAGAGAAAGAAUGUACAGCUAGGACAGGGAUCUUGGUACGGACGAGGUGGAAGGAUGGCGAAUGAAUAGUACGAGGGUGGCGGAAGGGCGGAUGGGUGGAAUGACGAGGAGAUAAACAACACUAAUAAAUCAGCGUAAUUGAGUUAACGACGGACUUUAAACUUAAGGCUUAGCGAGCAGGACAUCCGGUAAGGAGUUACGCAGUAUCAACCCUUUGGCUUCACGCAGUACGUCCCAACACCUUCAAGGAAGCCUCGUCUCUUCUUCACGAAGAAAGUGCAACUUUAUGAAAAACGACUAAACUUUAUUUGCUUCAAUAUUUUUGAUCCAAGCAUUUACGUAAAAAGAAGGACAGUUUUAUCGAUUGAUGGAUUCUCUGCUUUCGUCCUUGAAUCAGGGUUUUCCUAAAUUAUUUUAUGAAUUGAGUGAUAUUUUUUUUAAGGAUUUUCCUGAUUUUUUUUAUUUCAAAUCCAAGUUGUGGGAUACUUUGUUCCUUAAUGUGUCUUAUUAUAUGAAU